rnacentral:rRNA from 1 species
UACGUAGGGUGCGAGCGUUGUCCGGAAUCAUUGGGCGUAAAGCGCUCGUAGGCGGUCUGUUGCGUCGGAUGUGAAAACCCAGGGCUCAACCCUGGGCCUGCAUUCGAUACGGGCAGACUAGAGUUCGGUAGGGGAGACUGGAAUUCCUGGUGUAGCGGUGAAAUGCGUUGAUAUCGGGAGGAACACCAGUGGCGAAGGCGACUUCCUGGCCUGUUCUUGACGCUGAGGCGCGAAAGCUAGGGUAGCAAACGGG